rnacentral:rRNA from 1 species
CUUACACAUGCAAGUCGAACGGCAGCACGGACUUCGGUCUGGUGGCGAGUGGCGAACGGGUGAGUAAUAUAUCGGAACAUACCCAGUAGUGGGGGAUAACUAUCCGAAAGGAUAGCUAAUACCGCAUACGAUCUGUGGAUGAAAGCAGGGGAUCUUCGGACCUUGUGCUAUUGGAAUGGCCGAUAUCUGAUUAGCUAGUUGGUAGGGUAAAAGCCUACCAAGGCGACGAUCAGUAGCUGGUCUGAGAGGACGACCAGCCACACUGGAACUGAGACACGGUCCAGACUCCUACGGGAGGCAGCAGUGGGGAAUUUUGGACAAUGGGGGCAACCCUGAUCCAGCAAUGCCGCGUGAGUGAAGAAGGCCCUCGGGUUGUAAAGCUCUUUUGUCAGGGAAGAAACGGAGUUCUCUAAUAUAGGAUUCUAAUGACGGUACCUGAAGAAUAAGCACCGGCUAACUACGUGCCAGCAGCCGCGGUAAUACGUAGGGUGCAAGCGUUAAUCGGAAUUACUGGGCGUAAAGCGCGCGCAGGCGGUUUUGUAAGUCUGAUGUGAAAUCCCCGGGCUCAACCUGGGAACUGCAUUGGAGACUGCAAGGCUAGAGUAUGUCAGAGGGGGGUAGAAUUCCACGUGUAGCAGUGAAAUGCGUAGAGAUGUGGAGGAAUACCGAUGGCGAAGGCA